rnacentral:lncRNA from 1 species
UUGUUUUCCUCGUAUCGACUACCAUGUCCUAGUUUAUCUUGACAUUAAAAAAGAGUCUUAUUCCAGUAUUCCUGUUAUAUUUUGUAUUAAAAUAACAGAAACGUUAAUGGCCAUAUUUUAUAAGUGUUAAAGAGUAAUUUACAAUUCAAGAUUCAAAGAGAAUUUACGAAAAAUCAGGCGAUAUUUAAGAUCAUUCUUGAUAUUUACACAGUCA